AUUGAACGCUGGCGGCAUGCCUUACACAUGCAAGUCGAACGGCAGCACGGGUGCUUGCACCUGGUGGCGAGUGGCGAACGGGUGAGUAAAGCAUCGGAACGUACCGUGUAGUGGGGGCUAACGUAGCGAAAGUUACGCUAAUACCGCAUACGCACUGAGGUGGAAAGCAGGGGAUCGCAAGACCUUGCGCUAUACGAGCGGCCGAUGUCAGAUUAGCUAGUUGGUAGGGUAAAGGCCUACCAAGGCGACGAUCUGUAGCGGGUCUGAGAGGAUGAUCCGCCACACUGGGACUGAGACACGGCCCAGACUCCUACGGGAGGCAGCAGUGGGGAAUUUUGGACAAUGGGGGAAACCCUGAUCCAGCCAUGCCGCGUGAGUGAAGAAGGCCUUCGGGUUGUAAAGCUCUUUCGGCUGGGAAGAAAUCGCACAGGCUAAUACUCUGUGUGGAUGACGGUACCAGCAUAAGAAGCACCGGCUAACUACGUGCCAGCCGCCGCUGUAA
rnacentral:rRNA from 1 species